rnacentral:rRNA from 1 species
UGGGGAAUAUUGCACAAUGGAGGGAACUCUGAUGCAGCGACGCCGCGUGAGGGAUGAAGGAAUUCGUUUCGUAAAACUCUGUUCUAUGGGAAGAAAAGGACUGUACCAUAGGAGAAAGCUCCGGCUAAAUACGUGCCAGCAGCCGCGGUAAUACGUAUGGAGCGAGCGUUGUCCGGAAUUAUUGGGCGUAAAGGGUGCGCAGGCGGCUUUACAAGUUGGAUGUGAAAAAUUGUGGCUCAACCACAAACGUGCAUCCAAAACUGCAAAGCUUGAGUUGAGGGGAGGUAAGUGGAAUUCCUGGUGUAGCGGUGGAAUGCGUAGAUAUCAGGAGAAAUACCGGUGGCGAAGGCGACUUACUGGACUUAAACUGACGAUCAGGCACGAAAGCGUGGGGAGCAAACAGG